UGUUUAAAAUUUAAUUUAUUUUUACUAUUAAAAAUUGGUGUGGUUGAUGAUAUAAUCAGACACUCACAACGGACGAAUUUUAAAAAUAAAAAUGGAUGAAAUUUUUAAUA
rnacentral:pre_miRNA from 1 species